rnacentral:rRNA from 1 species
UUCAAAGAAAGGUGUUCAGUAGUACGUGACACCGCUUAGAGUAAAACGGGUGGGCCCUCGAAGCUCGAAAGCGGUGGGAUUCAGUCUCCGGACGAUCGCGGAGCCGGCGGCGUCAGGUAAACGGCCCCCCUCGGGGGGCUGUUCCGGCUGCUGGCACGCAGACGCGGUCUCCGGGGUGCGCACUUCCCACCGCCGGUAGAACGCCGCGACGGACGCGGGUCAAAGGGAACAAGCACGACUUUGAGUCCGGCAGUGGAGGUGACCUGCCCGUCCCUUCGGGGACGGCACGCGGGAGUUAUACCUCGCCGUGCACGAGAAGUUCGUCACCCCGUCCAGGCCCCAUGGGCUUCUCCCGGCUGUCGGGAGGCCCGAACGAUGACGCCCUCCGGAAACGGAGCGGAGAACCCGCUGGGCAAGCUUGUCGUCUCCUGCUGUCCGGGUUGGUCCCGCGGCGGCGGGUUGGCCGGCGAGAAGCCGCUGCGAGCGGGGUAAAUUCUCCCGCGGGAGGCGCUAUCGUGGUUGCGGCGAGUAGGUCGGAAUAGCGGUCCU